GAUGAACGCUGGCGGCGUGCCUAAUACAUGCAAGUCGAGCGAACAGACGAGGAGCUUGCUCCUCUGACGUUAGCGGCGGACGGGUGAGUAACACGUGGAUAACCUACCUAUAAGACUGGGAUAACUUCGGGAAACCGGAGCUAAUACCGGAUAAUAUAUUGAACCGCAUGGUUCAAUAGUGAAAGACGGUUUUGCUGUCACUUAUAGAUGGAUCCGCGCCGCAUUAGCUAGUUGGUAAGGUAACGGCUUACCAAGGCGACGAUGCGUAGCCGACCUGAGAGGAUGAUCAGCCACACUGGAACUGAGACACGGUCCAGACUCCUACGGGAGGCAGCAGUAGGGAAUAUUCCGCAAUGGGCGAAAGCCUGACGGAGCAACGCCGCGUGAGUGAUGAAGGUCUUCGGAUCGUAAAACUCUGUUAUUGGGGAAGAACAAAUGUGUAAGUAACUAUGCACGUCUUGACGGUACCUAAACAGAAAGCCACGGCUAACUACGUG
rnacentral:rRNA from 1 species